GAGCCAAACCGGUUAGGGCCGUUUCCUUUAUUUUAUGCCACCUUCUGCAGCCACCGUGACCUCCUGUAUUUCACACUGCCCUUCUCAGGCCUGCACCUGCUGCUUCUGCCCUGGACUGUGGCAUAGUCUUCGGCCCUGCCCCUUUUUACUAAGCAGUGGCUGUGCCAUUCCUUAUAGAUAAUUUGAACUUCAACCCACUGACUUUUACAGAAGUCUCGGAGGCCCACCCUUCCCAGGGAGCUGACCCGUUGGGGAUGGCUGGGAUGGCAGCCAGAAAUCUGCAGGCUGGGGCAGACAGGUUCCUCCGUGAUUCCAAUACAUGUGGCCUUCGGUGGUCAAGGCAAGUCCAGAUGCUUUAGGAACACAGAAGUGGAUGAGAGGAGGCUUCCAGCGGAAGGGGAUGAGAUCCAUGUUGAAGGCUGUUUCUUAUUUUUCUCCUUCCAGCCUCUCCUGGCAUCCUCUGCCUGAGCAGACCAGCCUUCCAAGGCUGGUAUUAAGCGUCAAUGCUCUCCAUUUCACUGCAAUCUACCUUUCCAUUUGUAUUUCUUACUGCCCUUCACAUCCCCUUCAUGCAGCAGGCUGAGUGGACCAUUUGCAUCUACACUUGCCUCCGUUUACCUAGGACUUAGGAAAGAAUAUUCACAUACCUAGCCCACCUGACAUCCAUGACCCAGACCACCGGACAUCUGGGAGAUCAUCAUCUUAGCUCAAUCUAGAAGCAAAGAAUGCAUGACAGAAUCUUCUUAAUAAUGUAAUUUUUCGUGUAAGAACUCUUAUCUUUUCUUUCUUUUUUUGAAACACUCAGGCUUUUGCCUAGUUGUGUUUCCAUUUUACAAGCCCUAAGACCCUUGAGUAAAAAUCUUUAUUUAUUUCUAA